CUUCUCUCUCUUCUCUCUUGUGAUUUUUAAUCCUCUCUCUCUCUCUCAAAAUACAUAUAAACCCUAGAGCUUCUAUAAACAUCAUCCAGCACUCUCAAAAGUUCAUCAGACAAGGUUAUCUGGUAGGGCACAGUUCAAUAAAUUUCGACAGUCCAUUUGUUUAACAGCGGCGAUGAAGAGAAGCACCAGAUCUUUCGUGCACAAGGUUCUCCGAUCACGAAAACGAUUGUAUUUGUUUCUUUUUUCGAUACUCAAGUCAACAAGUUUAAUAUUUUUUCGAUCCAAUCAAUCUUCUUUGAUUCAAGUUUCUCUCCAAUCGAUUCACGAAUCAGACUCAAAGGAUAGUGAUGGCGUUGCAAGAGUCACCUGUGACAAGAUGUAUUCAGUUGUAAACAAGGACAAACCAUAUGAAGAGCCUGAAUAUUCUGUUGAUGAAGAAGAUUUCGUGAAGGUUCAUGGCAGUGAUUUUGUAAGCCUUUUGUGUCAAAACUUAUUCAUGGUAAGCAUGUACCACAAUCCUUUUAAUAUAAUAAUGUUGGCAGCAAAUUGAACAUGCAAAUUGAAUUUGCUAGCAUUUCAAUCUUCUUCACAACUCUGUUAAUUUGUCCAUCUUUAUCGUUCUUUCCAUAAGUAAAUCAGGUUAGCGUUCCGAUUGUUAAUUUUAAUAUCUUUUAUCGUUCUUUUUUAUUUGUAUUAAUGAUGUUUAUAUGUUUUUUUAUAUAAUUAACGGUGAUUCUUUGUUGUUCUUAUUCUGUAAGUUAAUCAGAUUAUUAUUCUUUUGAUUUUAUGUUUUUUCCUAUUAUUUUAUUUGUUGGUUAGACAAAAAUCGCUAGACCUCUGGCUUGAAAAGGACUAAAGUGAAGAGCCUUAGUGUUAAAUUCAUCGUCAUCAAUAGGGAACGUAGAGAAACUAAUAUGCUUUAAUUGAGAACUAAGGGGCAUGUCAAUUCGACUGAAGAUAUAUUCAUCUAUUAUUGUGCUACUCAACUGAUUGAGGGGGUGUUUGGAUUUGCGUAGAUUGAUAGCAAUGGAAGGGCAAGAGAAAUUCUUUUGGAAGGUAAAGACGAGGAUUCCAUUAGAACUGGAUUUCCUAGCCAUUUGGGAGUUGGAUUCUUAAAUCUUGAAUAUGGAUACCUUUGUGAGAUCAUGGGUCACGAUGGGCCACACAGGUGUUCGACAUUUCUAAUGUCCUAUUUACAAGAUGCAAUUUGUGGUCAAUCUUUCUUCAAGGUCUUGCUUAAGCCAUCAUGUUGUGAUAUGUUGCAGCUGAAUGAUUUUGUCGAUAUCUAUCUUCUUAGCAAAGUUGCUAAAGUCUGAGCCACACUAUUUUUUGGUACAUGUUCUUGGAAGGUGAAAAUGUCAAAAGCAGUGGUCAACACUUUUAAAGUUAGCAUUAUUCUUCCAAAAUGGCAUUCAACUGAGCGUGCCAAAGAAUGAACAUCACAAACAGUUUGAAGAUAUUACACACUAUUUUGUUUUCAUUAACAAGGAAACCUUUAAAUAAUUUCAAUUUUUAUGUGGGUUCAAGUUUUUUAUUUUCUCAUUUAAUUAACAUCAUUAUGACAGUUAUAUGUUUUGCUACAUUUUAGUUUGAAAAUGAAGGAGUGUAAUAGAUGUCUGCAAAUGAUGUUAAUCAAAUGGAUGAAGAUAAUGUAACCUCCUUCACUUCCACUGUUAAGACCCGUGUAGUGAGGUGGCAGUCUCGGAGGAUGGUAGAGGUAAGGUGGCUGGUAUUCUUGCACGGUUUUGUAUUAAUUUUUCACAGGUUUGGCGUGUAAAUGGCCAAGAGAAGAUACUUCUUCCAGUUUCUGAUCAGUCAAAGUUCAAGAGGAAUGCCUUGGUGAAUAUCAAGAGGAAUGCCUUAUAGGGACAUGGUUUGGAAAGUUGAGAGAAGUUACCAUCAUCUUUGACAUACAAAUCUCUGAUGCAUUUUCACAUGUGGAUAUUAGCGUUCCACAAGCCAAAGCCAGGCUUAAUCGCCAUAUUGAGCAUAUUCUUGGAUGCAUUAAAUCGCUGCCUUCUACCAAGUUAAAUGAGCCUGGGACUUCCGUUGCUCCACAACUUGAGUCCUUAGUCCAAAGAAUAUAUGCUGGACCAGAUCAAUAGCGUAUUCGAUAGCUUAUUCCAGUACACAUGCACAAAGACCGAGUGAACAUAUAAGAGAACCACCAUUACUAUGCAAAUGAUUUUAGGUUUCUGAGAUGGUGGAUUUAGUUUCUCAAAAGGAGUAUCCGGAAGCUCGAUUUUAGCCCGAAUGGGGUGUGUACGAUUGUUCAAGUUAUCGAUUUUAAGAACUCGCAUGGACCGUUUAAGUGGGAGCUUCAUCAAGCUACCAAUCAGGCAUGGAUUCAUGUGAAAAAUGUUUCUGGUCGAAUUUUGUUAAAUGAUUUCGAUCAUAUCUUGGUUUUUCAUGUGAGAAUUUCAUUAGAAGUUAAAGAUAGAAUUUUUUUUAUUGAUUUAUUGAAUCUUUUAAUCAAAUUAUAGAAGUUUUGAUGUCA